AUUGAACGCUGGCGGCAUGCCUUACACAUGCAAGUCGAACGAACCCUUCGGGGUUAGUGGCGGACGGGUGAGUAACACGUGGGAACGUGCCUUUAGGUUCGGAAUAACUAAGGGAAACUUGUGCUAAUACCGAAUGUGCCCUUCGGGGGAAAGAUUUAUCGCCUUUAGAGCGGCCCGCGUCUGAUUAGCUAAUUGGUGAGGUAAUGGCUCACCAAGGCUACGAUCAGUAGCUGGUCUGAGAGGAUGACCAGCCACAUUGGGACUGAGACACGGCCCAAACUCCUACGGGAGGCAGCAGUGGGGAAUCUUGCGCAAUGGGCGAAAGCCUGACGCAGCCAUGCCGCGUGGAUGAUGAAGGUCUUAGGAUUGUAAAAUCCUUUCACCGGUGAAGAUAAUGACUGUAGCCGGAGAAGAAGCCCCGGCUAACUUCGUGCCAGCCGCCGCAGUAACAC
rnacentral:rRNA from 1 species